UACGUAGGGUGCAAGCGUUGUCCGGAAUUAUUGGGCGUAAAGAGCUCGUAGGCGGUUCGUCGCGUCGGCUGUGAAAUCCCGGAGCUCAACUCCGGGUCUGCAGUCGAUACGGGCGGACUUGAGUACUGCAGGGGAGACUGGAAUUCCUGGUGUAGCGGUGAAAUGCGCAGAUAUCAGGAGGAACACCGGUGGCGAAGGCGGGUCUCUGGGCAGUAACUGACGCUGAGGAGCGAAAAGCGUGGGGGAGC
rnacentral:rRNA from 1 species